CAUAUACUUACAUCAAAACGAUUAUCGUCGGAUAAUCGUUCUGAUCCGGGUUCCCGGAAGUGUCAAUUUCGACACCGGAACCCACCGUCACUCUCCCGUCGUCUCCGAACCCUCGAAAUGACGCAAGUGACCAGCCAAUAAGGCUCAGCGACAAUGUACAUCAUAGUGAGGCACCGUCGGAAGAAAUUCGAACCGAAACUGCUUUCCGUCGGCAAAUUUUGCCGAAAAACACAUCGAAAAUCGACAUUCGAUCUCCGGAAGGCCUCGGACCU
rnacentral:lncRNA from 1 species